rnacentral:snoRNA from 1 species
AAGAAGCUGGGCCUUGAGUCUGCGCCUGCAAACUCCUAAGACUUCUCAGAGUCCCGUGGACAGUGCCCGAGGAGAUAAACUAUGCAGG